rnacentral:rRNA from 1 species
UGAGGAAUAUUGGGCAAUGCCCGCAAGGGUGACCCAGCAACGCCGCGUGGAGGAUGAAUGUCGUAAGAUUGUAAACUCCUGUUAGAGGGGAAGAAUAGUACCGGUUGGACCGGUAUAUGACUGUACCCUCAGAGAAAGCCCCGGCUAACUACGUGCCUGCAGCCGCGGUAAUACGUAGGGGGCAAGCGUUGUCCGGAUUUACUGGGUGUAAAGGGCGCGCAGGCGGGAUAAAAAGUCAGUGGUGAAAUCCUACAGCUUAACUGUAGAACUGCCUUUGAUACUUUUAGUCUUGAGUUCGGGAGAGAGAGACGGAAUUCCUGGUGUAGUGGUGAAAUACGUAGAUAUCUGGAAGAACACCAGUUGCGAAGGCGGUCUCUUGGUCCGACACUGACGCUGAGGCGCGAAAGCGUGGGGAGCAAACA